CCGGGGCCAGGAAACUGCGGUGUGUGUGCGGUGUAUGUGCUCUGUGUCUGCUCACAGCCGGCUGCAGGGAGCGGGAGAGCUCACAUCGGCAUCCUGGACAUGUGCGGGAGAUCCUGACUGGGACUUGCUGCGGGACCAAAAAUUAAAUUCUCCAGGCUGGCCGGCAAGGAAGAGAACGUGAUUGGAUGCCUGCACUCCACACUCACCGGAUUUUGAGUUCCUGCAAAGCAGGGUGCACAGAGCUGAGCUGUGCAGAGCUGGGAGCUGCAGCCGCCGUUGACGCCGGUGAAGGUGAAGGGUGUCAGCUUUGGCUUUGGGUUCUCUGUGGAGCAGGGAUGGGGAUGGUGGCAUGGGAAUGAUGGGACAGGGGUCACCAAAAAGCCUCCUGGGGAAGGAGGUGAUCCUGACAGGCUGGGGAGCAUCCAUGCUUUGUGUCAGGCUCCCCAGCACCCUCCUGCCCUGCGCCGCUUGCUCUGGCUCUGCCACAGUUUGCAGGGAAUGAUUUUUGUUUGAGGAAAGCACAGGGGCAAGGGCUGGAUUUGGGCAAAGCACAGCUU
rnacentral:lncRNA from 12 species